rnacentral:rRNA from 1 species
GAUGAACGCUGGCGGCGUGCUUAACACAUGCAAGUCGAACGGGAAACCUUUUAUUGAAGCUUCGGCAGAUUUAGCUGGUUUCUAGUGGCGGACGGGUGAGUAACGCGUGGGUACCUGCCUUAUACAGGGGGAUAACAACCAGAAAUGGUUGCUAAUACCGCAUAAGCGCACAGGACCGCAUGGUCCGGUGUGAAAAACUCCGGUGGUAUAAGAUGGACCCGCGUUGGAUUAGCUAGUUGGCAGGGUAACGGCCUACCAAGGCGACGAUCCAUAGCCGGCCUGAGAGGGUGAACGGCCACAUUGGGACUGAGACACGGCCCAGACUCCUACGGGAGGCAGCAGUGGGGAAUAUUGCACAAUGGGGGAAACCCUGAUGCAGCGACGCCGCGUGAAGGAAGAAGUAUCUCGGUAUGUAAAAUUCUAUCAGCAGGGAAGAUAGUGACGGUACCUGACUAAGAAGCCCCGGCUAACUACGUG